rnacentral:rRNA from 1 species
AUUCGAUGCAACGCGAAGAACCUUACCUGGACUUGACAUAUAGCUGCAUCCGACCUGAAAGGGACGGAGCCUUCGAGGGUGCUAUACAGGUGCUGCAUGGCUGUCGUCAGCUCGUGCCGUGAGGUGUUGGGUUAAGUCCCGCAACGAGCGCAACCCUUGUGUUUAGUUGCCAGCACGUAAUGGUGGGAACUCUAAACAGACUGCUGGUGAAAACCAGAGGAAGGUGGGGAUGACGUCAAGUCAGUAUGGUCCUUAUGUCCAGGGCUGCACACGUGCUACAAUGGGCGACACAAUAGGAAGCCAAACCGCGAGGUGGAGCAAAUCCUCAAAAUCGUCCCCAGUUCGGAUUGGAGUCUGAAACUCGACUCCAUGAAGUUGGAAUCGCUAGUAAAGGUGUAUCAGCUACGACACCUUGAAUACGUUCCCGGGUCUUGUACACACCGCCCGUCACAUCAUGGAAGUGGGUUGCACCCGAAGUCGCUGAUCCAACCUUUUACUAGGAGGAAGGCGCCUAAGGUGUGAUUGAUAACUGGGAUGAAGUCGUAAC